GGGUUCAUUGGAGCACAUAUACUAAAAUUGGAACGAUACAGAGAAGAUUAGCAUGGCCCCUGCGCAAAACUGUUUUUAAUAUUCCCUAACUGAAAACAAUCCCC